GACGAACGCUGGCGGCGUGCCUAACACAUGCAAGUUGAGCGACGAACCAGGGCUUGCCCUGGGUCAAAGCAGCGAACGGGUGAGUAACACGUGGGUAACCUACCCCGAUAACCGGGACAACCCGAGGAAACUCGGGCUAAUACCGGAUGUGCUCACUGGACUUCGGUUCAGUGCGUAAAAGAAGCUUCGGCCUCCGGAUCGGAAGGGGCCCGCGGCCCGUUGGAUUGUUGGUGGGGUAACGGCUCACCAAGACCGCGAUGGGUAGCUGGGCUGAGAGGAGGAUAGGCCACACUGGAACUGGGACGGGGCCCAGGCUACUACGGGAGGCAGCAGUGGGGAAUCUUGCGCAAUGCGCGAAAGCGUGACGCAGCAACGCCGCGUGGGGGAAGAAGGCCUUCGGGUUGUAAACCCCUUUCAGGAGGGACGAAGGUUCGGCGGUGAAUAGCCGUCCGGACUGACGGUACCUCCACAAGAAGCCCCGGCUAACUACGUG
rnacentral:rRNA from 1 species